rnacentral:rRNA from 1 species
UACGGGGGGGAGCAAGCGUUGUUCGGAUUUACUGGGCGUAAAGGGCGCGUAGGCGGUCAGUGCAAGUCAGUUGUGAAAUCUCCGGGCUUAACUCGGAAAGGUCAACUGAUACUGCUCGACUAGAGUGCGGAAGGGGCAACUGGAAUUCUUGGUGUAGCGGUGAAAUGCGUAGAUAUCAAGAGGAACACCUGCGGCGAAGGCGGGUUGCUGGGCCGACACUGACGCUGAAGUGCGAAAGCCAGGGGAGCGAACGGG